rnacentral:rRNA from 1 species
AACGCGAAGAACCUUACCAGGGCUUGACAUGCACGGUGCACCUCUAGAGAUAGAGGGUCCUUUGGGGUCGUGCACAGGUGGUGCAUGGUUGUCGUCAGCUCGUGUCGUGAGAUGUUGGGUUAAGUCCCGCAACGAGCGCAACCCUCGUCCUGUAUUGCCAGCAGCAUCUUCGGAUGGCUGGGGACUUGCGGGAGACUGCCGGGGUCAACUCGGAGGAAGGUGGGGAUGACGUCAAAUCAUCAUGCCCCUUAUGUCCUGGGCUGCACGCAUGCUACAAUGGCCGGUACAGAGGGCUGCGAUACCGUGAGGUGGAGCGAAUCCCGUAAAGCCGGUCUCAGUUCGGAUCGGGGUCUGCAACUCGACCCCGUGAAGUCGGAGUCGCUAGUAAUCGCAGAUCAGCAACGCUGCGGUGAAUACGUUCCCGGGCCUUGUA